rnacentral:tRNA from 1 species
GCGAGAUUAGCUCAGUUGGUUAGAGCGUCGGUUUGUGGUACCGAAGGUCGUGGGUUCAAGCCCCAUAUCUCGCCCCA